GAUGAAGAACGUAGCGAAAUGCGAUAAGUAAUGUGAAUUGCAGAAUUCCGUGAAUCAUCGAAUCUUUGAACGCACAUUGCGCCCCCUGGCAUUCCGGGGGGCAUGCCUGUCCGAGCGUCAUUUCUGCCCUCCAGCCCGGCUGGGUGUUGGGCGCUGUCCCCCCGGGGACACGCCCCAAAGGCAGUGGCGGCGCCGCGUCGGGUCCUCGAGCGUAUGGGGCUUUGUCACCCGCUCGGGACGGACUCGUCGGCGCUGGUCUUCCUCCAGGCGACCCUUCGGGGCUCGUCUUCCUUCGGUUGACCUCGCAUCAGGUAGGGUUACCCGCUGAACUUAAGCAUAUCAAUAAGCGGAGGA
rnacentral:misc_RNA from 1 species